UACGGGGGGGGCAAGCGUUGUUCGGAAUUACUGGGCGUAAAGGGCUCGUAGGCGGCCAACUAAGUCAGACGUGAAAUCCCUCGGCUUAACCGGGGAACUGCGUCUGAUACUGGAUGGCUUGAGUUCGGGAGAGGGAUGCGGAAUUCCAGGUGUAGCGGUGAAAUGCGUAGAUAUCUGGAGGAACACCGGUGGCGAAGGCGGCGUCCUGGACCGACACUGACGCUGAGGAGCGAAAGCCAGGGGAGCAAACGGG
rnacentral:rRNA from 1 species